UACGGAGGGUGCAAGCGUUGUUCGGAAUUAUUGGGCGUAAAGGGUGCGUAGGCGGUUUGAUAAGUCUGAUGUGAAAUCUAUGGGCUCAACCCAUAGUCUGCAUUAGAAACUGUCGGGCUUGAGUAUGGGAGAGGUGAGUGGAAUUUCCGGUGUAGCGGUGAAAUGCGUAGAUAUCGGAAGGAACACCUGUGGCGAAAGCGGCUCACUGGACCAUUACUGACGCUGAUGCACGAAAGCUAGGGGAGCAAACAGG
rnacentral:rRNA from 1 species